GGCAGGCGCUUCCCGGAAAGCCUUAGAAAAACUGCCUUUUCCGGAUGCUGCUCAGCCCUUCUCCGAUGGAUACUAAUGGGAAGAAGAAAUAAGGGAGGCAGGAUUCCUUCCUCCUUCCUGCCCCUUGCUCCAGCAUGACAUUUAACAUCUGUGAAUAGCUGAAAGGAGGAAGAGGAGGGCUAAAAACUUCAGUUCUCAAAAUAUCCAGAGGCUGCGCCCUGACCAACUCCUAGAGCCACCGCUGCCUGAAGGGGAACGUCCGCGCAGAGCCAGACAGAAGCGAUCUGGACGAUUAGGGAGAAUCUUAUCAGCCUGUUACAGAAAACUAUACUGGAGAUUCUUCUUCUUGCGUUCAAAAGAUUAAAUCAGCAGUUUGAUGAA